UAUCAGCCUUUUGGGCAUGAUUCUGUGGAGCGUGAGGAGUUAAACGCCUUCAUGCCUGCAUAUUCGUGUACUUUGGGUGUACUUGCCUGUGUGGUUAGUUAACAUCAAUUUUGGUUAUCAUAAAAUGGUUGGAGGAAUGUAGCUUCGAUUUCGAUUGAAGUGUUAUAGCCUUCGGCAGAUGUGAUGAUCGGGAUUGAGGAUUGCAACGGAUACCCUUCGGGGCUACCUGUCUGGUCUCUGAUCGUUGCUCUGGUGCCGAAAGCGUGCUUACGGUUAUCAAAGUCGAUGGUCAAUAGGUUAGAACGGGUUAAAUUCGUUAAGGAUGUUGACGUA
rnacentral:rRNA from 1 species